UGAGGAAUAUUUGUCAAAGGGCGAGAGCCUUAACCAGCCCAGUAACGUGCAGAAUUCCGGCCCUAUGGGUUGACAAAUGCUUUUAUGUGGGGAUAAACUGCGUGAACUGUACUACCGGGCAGGUACCACAUGAAUAAGACCCGGCUACUUACGUGCCAGCAGCCGCGGUAAUACGGAAGGUCCGGGCGUUAUCCGGAUUUAUUGGGUUUACAGGGAGCGUAGGCUGUCUAUUAAGCGUGUUGUGAAAUUUACCGGCUCAACCGGUGGCUUGCAGCGCGAACUGGUCGACUUGAGUAUGCAGGAAGUAGGCGGAAUUCAUGGUGUAGCGGUGAAAUGCUUAGAUAUCAUGACGAACUCCGAUUGCGCAGGCAGCUUACUGUAGCAUAACUGACGCUGAUGCUCGAAAGUGCGGGUAUCAAACAGG
rnacentral:rRNA from 1 species